AUGAAUACUAGGUGUAGGGGUUGUCAUGACCUCUGUGCCGCCGCUAACGCAUUAAGUAUUCCGCCUGGGGAGUACGGUCGCAAGAUUAAAACUCAAAGGAAUUGACGGGGGCCCGCACAAGCAGCGGAGCAUGUGGUUUAAUUCGAAGCAACGCGAAGAACCUUACCUAGACUUGACAUCUCCUGCAUUACUCUUAAUCGAGGAAGUCCCUUCGGGGACAGGAUGACAGGUGGUGCAUGGCUGUCGUCAG
rnacentral:rRNA from 1 species